AUACUUACCUGGACGGGGUUUGUGGUUGAUCAUAAAGGAUCAUGACCUAGAUUUGUGGCCUCCAUUGCACUUUGGAGGCUUACUUGUCUAACAUCUCCCCAUGUGGGAGAGUGUACGUCAUAAUUUCUUACUGAGGGGGUACGCGUUCGCGCGGCCCCUA
rnacentral:snRNA from 1 species